rnacentral:rRNA from 1 species
UACGUAGGGUGCGAGCGUUAAUCGGAAUUACUGGGCGUAAAGCGUGCGCAGGCGGUUCGUGAUGUCUGGUGUGAAAGCCCCGGGCUUAACCUGGGAAUUGCAUUGGAAACUACGUGGCUGGAGUGUGGCAGAGGAAGGUGGAAUUCCACGUGUAGCAGUGAAAUGCGUAGAUAUGUGGAGGAACACCGAUGGCGAAGGCAGCCCCCUGGGCUAACACUGACGCUCAUGCACGAAAGCGUGGGGAGCAAACAGG